UUUCAAUAACGUCUGAUGCUAGUGUGGGGAUCUGUGUUUUCUUGUUGGUGGUUACCUGCACUGAUAAUCAGUGUGGGGAUCAUGUGAUCUGCAUUGUGUGGCUGCUUGUCUUGGGUCACAUGAGGCAUGUCACAUGACACAUUAGGAGAUUAUAAAGUUUGGCUUGUGGAGUUCACACUCUCUUGCUGCUGCCAUUUGCCACUGCAACUAGACUCCCGUCAUACAGGGUGACUGCUAGAACAAUGUGUUCCACUCUUUAUGAAGGACACAGGUGACUGCGUGGCAUUUGAAGGACUUGUGACCUCCUAUUGAGUUGCUGGGCUGCAGACACUCUGCACUGGAGUGCCCCAUUUUAUCUUCCUGGGUUAUUGUGCUGCGGGGAGUAUUGAACACACUUGCAAAGUAGGCCAAUACUUCUUGUAUAUGUUGGUCUUAUGUGUGCUGGUGAAUGAAAUUGGGGAUUAAUGUGGUAUUAUUUCAUUUUAAAUGGACCAGGCCAGCCACUGUUUUAUUGUCAGUGUACAAGUCUUUUUUUUUAGUUUGUUUGUUGGUUGUUUUGUUUGCCUUUGGCUUUGUCCUUUUUUUUUUUGGUCCUUGGUCUAGUGUAACCCUGCCUUGACCAAGCCAGCGCGGUGGUCAUUGUGUUGGGAGCUGGCUGUUCUCCUCUUUUUGUCUCUGUAUAGGUUCUCUGUACAAGGCCGGAUCUGCACCUCACUACUGCUCCUUUCAGUUGGGGGCUGCACUGAGGGGACACUAUUUUGGUGUGUACUGGUAACAUGCAACACGGUGUGGUAUUUUGUAGUGGUAAUUACUGACCUUGUGUGUGCAGUGUUUGCUAUGUUGCAUGCUUGUAUGGUGUUGGGUUUGUUGUGUCUGUCUCUCUCACCAGGGCCUCCUAGGAGAGGAGCUGUGGGUGCCGUGCCGACCCGACCUUAUUAGUUUGAGAAGCUCCAGCCAGUUUCCCUUUGUCUCUUUUUCACAUUAGCAAUUGUACCUAUUCAAAAUUGUAAUAAAUUUGAGCUUGUGUA